rnacentral:rRNA from 1 species
AGAGUUUGAUCAUGGCUCAGAGCGAACGCUGGCGGCAGGCCUAAUACAUGCAAGUCGAGCGCACCUUCGGGUGAGCGGCGGACGGGUGAGUAACGCGUGGGAAUGUGCCCUUUGGUACGGAACAACUGAGGGAAACUUCAGCUAAUACCGUAUGUGCCCUUCGGGGGAAAGAUUUAUCGCCAUUGGAGCAGCCCGCGUUGGAUUAGGUAGUUGGUGAGGUAAAGGCUCACCAAGCCUACGAUCCAUAGCUGGUCUGAGAGGAUGAUCAGCCACACUGGGACUGAGACACGGCCCAGACUCCUACGGGAGGCAGCAGUAGGGAAUCUUGCGCAAUGGGCGAAAGCCUGACGCAGCCAUGCCGCGUGAAUGAUGAAGGUCUUAGGAUUGUAAAAUUCUUUCACCGGGGAAGAUAAUGACGGUACCCGGAGAAGAAGCCCCGGCUAACUUCGUGCCAGCAGCCGCGGUAAUACGAAGGGGGCUAGCGUUGCUCGGAAUUACUGGGCGUAAAGGGCGCGUAGGCGGAUGUUUAAGUCGGGGGUGAAAGCCCAGGGCUCAACCCUGGAAUAGCCUUCGAUACUGGACAUCUUGAGUACGGGAGAGGUGAGUGGAACUCCGAGUGUAGAGGUGAAAUUCGUAGAUAUUCGGAAGAACACCAGUGGCGAAGGCGACUCACUGGCCCGUUACUGACGCUGAGGCGCGAAAGCGUGGGGAGCAAACAGGAUUAGAUACCCCCGUAGUCC